UUUUUGAUAUCAUACCUUAUCCAAUAAUAAAGAAAUUUGAAUUUGAAUGGUAACAAUUCCGUUAAAUCCUCGUCCUCGUUUUGAUAGUCUCACUCACUGCCGAUCAGUGUGUUCUUUCUGAUUAGCUCUUAAUUGAGAUCACCUGUCACGCACCCCUUUAUUAAAGGGGUGCGUGGGUUUGGUUUACAUUUCGCAUCGGCCUGUGUCAAUCGAGGUUGAGUUUAGUGAGGGUUGAAAGUUUUCGAUCUAGAUUGCAGAUCACUAUUGUCACUUUAUACAAACUGAAAGUAUGCGUUGUUGCGUGUUUGUUUUUGUGGGCAUUUGACUGAACAGCCCAGACAAAUAUUGCUACCAACAUGGCACUUCGAAACAGACUACCGCAGUGUUAGAUGACUGACAAGAUCUAUAUGGGGGGGCCCCCUUUGGGCCCCCCCAUACCAACUUAGUCUUCAAAGGAAUCUAGUGCCAUGGGACUCCAGUGUCUUCAAAACAUCUUCGGAAUACAUGUGUAUGAAUGGUCCACCGAAGGGUUGAUCUGGAAGCCACCACGGUCCACGCAGUAAUCUGCUGCGUGAGCCGUAGUGGCUUCCAGAGCCAUCUUUCGGUCUUGGUCAGGAUUUGUUACAGUUGCCCUUCAAUGUAGCAGGCUACGGGUUUCUGAAGAAGCCUGCUUUACGUAGCAUUGGAGUACAAAUAUUGUGCAAAAUGCUCAUGUAAUUGCACUAGCACUGGUAACCUGUAGAUUAGCUUAGUUUAACGUCAUUCGGUGCUGUCUGUCAAAUGUGUGGCUUACUUUAAGUCCACAAGGCCCUCUGGUAAACCACGUUGGAACACCCCUGGACAAGGUGAUUAGUCACUGGGUGUGUGCUAAAGUUUUGUUCCAUUUUUCACUAGUUGGUUAAGGUUUGGUAGAAUUGUUUGGAUGUUAUUCAUCCGCUGUAAAGCUGCAUUUGACUAUUCCAGGGUCGUUUUGUACAGGCUUUCAAUUGACCAUGUUGACUAGUUUGCGGGAAGUUUUUUUUUUUUUACCCUUGGGUUGCGACCACUUAUGCAACUGGGCUGUGAACCUUGCAUUUCUAGUUGCAUAUUUGUACCGCAAGCUUGUCCAUUUCUAUCGCCAUCACUAACACUAGCUUCAGCAUUUCCUUGUAGGCCAUUAGCUGACUUCUGCAUUGGAGCGAUUUUGGGUAUUUUAAGAUGCUUGAAACCCUAAAAUAAAGCAAAAUGCUUGUGGUAGAUCUGCCAUCCAAGAAAGGUUAAUUCUUCUGAAGCAUGAUUAAUAGUUUAGUAAAUUGAAUCUAUUCAUAUAGAACUAUAAAAUCCAAGACUGCAGCCAGUAACUUGGAUGUAUGUGGAAAGUAUUGGUCUUCAUUUGUAACAGAAUAACUUGACUAACUGGGUUUCUUCCAUUUUCUAACUAGGGGACUUGACUGGUGAGUCUACUGGAUUAAUCAGU
ensembl:lncRNA